UGGGGAAUAUUGCACAAUGGGGGAAACCCUGAUGCAGCGACGCCGCGUGGAGGAAGAAGGUCUUCGGAUUGUAAACUCCUGUUGUUGAGGAAGAUAAUGACGGUACUCAACAAGGAAGUGACGGCUAACUACGUGCCAGCAGCCGCGGUAAAACGUAGGUCACAAGCGUUGUCCGGAAUUACUGGGUGUAAAGGGAGCGCAGGCGGGGAGACAAGUUGGAAGUGAAAUCCAUGGGCUCAACCCAUGAACUGCUUUCAAAACUGGUCGUCUUGAGUAGUGCAGAGGUAGGCGGAAUUCCCGGUGUAGCGGUGGAAUGCGUAGAUAUCGGGAGGAACACCAGUGGCGAAGGCGGCCUACUGGGCACCAACUGACGCUGAGGCUCGAAAGUGUGGGUAGCAAACAGGAUUAGAUACCCUGGUAGUCCACACCGUAAACGAUGAUUACUAGGUGUUGGGAGAUUGACCCCUUCAGUGCCGCAGUUAACACAAUAAGUAAUCCACCUGGGGAGUACGACCGCAAGGUUGAAACUCAAAGGAAUUGACGGGGGCCCGCACAAGCAGUGGAGUAUGUGGUUUAAUUCGAAGCAACGCGAAGAACCUUACCAGGUCUUGACAUCCGAUGCAUAGUGCAGAGAUGCAUGAAGUCCUUCGGGACAUCGAGACAGGUGGUGCAUGGUUGUCGUCAGCUCGUGUCGUGAGAUGUUGGGUUAAGUCCCGCAACGAGCGCAACCCUUAUUGCCAGUUACUACGCAAGAGGACUCUGGCGAGACUGCCGUUGACAAAACGGAGGAAGGUGGGGAUGACGUCAAAUCAUCAUGCCCCUUAUGACCUGGGCUACACACGUACUACAAUGGAUGUUAACAGAGGGAAGCAAGACAGUGAUGUGGAGCAAACCCCUAAAAACAUUCUCAGUUCAGAUUGCAGGCUGCAACCCGCCUGCAUGAAGAUGGAAUUGCUAGUAAUCGCGGAUCAGCAUGCCGCGGUGAAUACGUUCCC
rnacentral:rRNA from 1 species